rnacentral:rRNA from 1 species
CGGGCGGCUGCACCAGUGGGGAAUAUUGGACAAUGGGCGCAAGCCUGAUCCAGCAAUGCCGCGUGAGUGAAGACGGCCUUAGGGUUGUAAAACUCUUUCGCUAGGGAAGAUAAUGACUGUACCUAGUAAAGAAGUCCCGGCUAACUCCGUGCCAGCAGCCGCGGUAAUACGGAGGGGACUAGCGUUGUUCGGAAUUACUGGGCGUAAAGAGUUCGUAGGCGGACUGACAAGUUAGAGGUGAAAUCCCAGGGCUCAACCCUGGAACUGCCUUUAAAACUGUCAGUCUAGAGACCGGAAGAGGUUAGGGGAAUACCUAGUGUAGAGGUGAAAUUCGUAGAUAUUAGGUGGAACACCAGUGGCGAAGGCGCCUAACUGGUCCGGUACUGACGCUGAGGAACGAAAGCGUGGGGAGCAAACAGGAUUAGAUACCCGGGUAGUC